GCCUUUUCUCAGUGCCCUGUCGUGGUUUCCACUUGUGGUUGUUAGAGAGCGUUUCUUGGUAAUAUUUUCAGUUUUUUUACUUUGGCUUAUGUUUUGACUUUCCCUACUUCUAGUAUCCUGACCUUUAGCUAGUAUAUUCCUUUGUCUUAUUCUGUAUCCAAUGUAGAAAGGUACAAAAUUCAACAAAAGGCAAUUUCUUAAACACACAGCCACAUCGCAACGUUUCGACCUACAUGGUCUUUAUCAAUUAUUCUGUAUCCCUGACCUCAGUUUGUUAUGUGACCAUUCUCUUUUACGAUAAGUCUGGCCAUUCUAAGGCACUGUAAAUGUUGUUUGUGUUAUCAUUGUUUUGCGUGUUGGGUCAUACAGUAGUCGUGACAGAUAAUUUCAAGAAAUUCCCAGAUUAACUAGCCGCCACAUUUGCCUGACCUUUCAGCUCCUGAUUACUUCUUGUGGGGAUAUCUGAAGGAGUGGGAGUACAUGAACAAAUCGUGUUCACUUGACCAGCU